rnacentral:rRNA from 1 species
CCUACGGGAGGCAGCAGUGAGGAAUAUUCGUCAAUGGGCGAGAGCCUGAACCAGCCAAGCCGCGUGAGGGAAGACGGCCCUAUGGGUUGUAAACUUCUUUUGUCGGGGAAUAAAACGCAGUAUGUAUCCUGAUCUGCGUUUAUCCUAUGAAAAAGCAUCGGCUAACUCCGUGCCAGCAGCCGCGGUAAUACGGAGGAUGCGAGCGUUAUCCGGAUUUGUUGGGUUUAAAGGGUGGCGAGGCGGGUUGUUAAGUCAGUUGUGAAAUUUCCGGGCUCAACCCGAGACGGGCGGUUGAUACUGGCAGACUUGAGUACGGGAGAGGUACGCGGAAUGCGAGGUGUAGCGGUGAAAUGCAUAGAUAUCGCGAAGAACUCCGAUUGCGAAGGCAGCCUUCUGGCCUGUAACUGACGCUGAGGCUCGAAAGCGUGGGGAUCGAACAGGAUUAGAUACCCUUGUAGUC